CCUUUGUACACACCGCCUGUCGCUACUACCGAUUGAAUGGUUUAGUGAGCCCUUGGGAUUGGCGUUUGGGAGCCAGCAAUGGCACCUGAUUGCUGAAAACUUGGGCAAACUUGAUCAUUUAGAGG
rnacentral:rRNA from 1 species